UGGACGCUCACGACACAAUCCCCAUAAUGAAGGAGGACGGGGUUCAGCCCGCGCUGCACAGGCUCCCCGGGAGGAGAGGGCAGGGCGGUGGGAAGGGGCCCAGCACAGGUAGCCCCUCACCUUUAGACCUAGUUGUGACUUUGGGACUUGGCAGUUCRGUGACGCUUUACUGGGUGACCCUGCUUUUUUUUUGCCUCUGCAGGGACUCUUCUGCCCUGGCUCCCAGCUCCAGCCCCGGCACAGCGCUGGUGGGAGCUAGGGUGACCCAUGGAGAUCAAAGGGGAUUGAGUGCAUCUCCCAAGAAGCCAGACCCCAAAUCCCAGAGCAAGGCUGGGCCUGGAACAGCCCAGUCAGAGACCCCCUCUGCCCCCUCUGGAUUUGCAAGGUCUUGAGCUCAGCAGAGAGGACGAGAGGCAGGAACRGAGGAGGACUGUGCUAGCUUGUGUCCCUACUUGCAUGAAGUCAUAUGGAAGCCAUCAGGCCUGCUCCCUCCAGCCCCUUUGCAACCCUGUGGCGGAGGAGCUGCAGCCCACGAGAUGGCACCAGAGCCUUUCCUCAGACGAGGCAAACCAGCGCCUUGCUGCAGCCCUGGCGCCCCUGGACACCCUGAAGGCACCCCUGGGUGCCAGGCAGCCCUUCAUCCCCACAAGGCCCUUCCAGAGAUGCCCCGUGAGAGGUGCAUCUCACUGCACCCAGCACCAGCCGGGUCCCGAGGAGGAAGGAUGGGGCUUGCUUUUCACCAGCAUCUCUAUGCGGAGGCAGGUGCACCCUGCACCCCUGCAGGAGGAUGUCUCAGGAGCUGGGCAGAGCUGAAACGUGGUCCUGCUCCUAGUGCAUCUCCCUCGUGGGAGAUGCCCACCGCAGCGAGGCCUCAGUGCACAGCCAGGCUCUGGAUUCGCACAGCUAGUGGGUGCUGUUUCCUGGCGGAGAGGAACUAGAAACCCGAUGGAAAAAUCCAGGAACUGCUUUAAAAAUAAAAACUGUGUUUCCGGUCCCUUUUCCUGAAAG
rnacentral:lncRNA from 1 species